rnacentral:tRNA from 1 species
GGAGAAUUACCCAAGAGGCUGAAGGGGACGGUUUGCUAAACCGUUAGGGUGUAAAUAUGCGCCGCGAGGGUUCGAAUCCCUCAUUCUCCGCCA